rnacentral:rRNA from 1 species
GACGAACGCUGGCGGCGUGCUUAACACAUGCAAGUCGAACGGAAAGGCCCUGCUUUUGUGGGGUGCUCGAGUGGCGAACGGGUGAGUAACACGUGAGUAACCUGCCCUUGACUUUGGGAUAACUUCAGGAAACUGGGGCUAAUACCGGAUAGGAGCUCCUGCUGCUUGGUGGGGGUUGGAAAGUUUCGGCGGUUGGGGAUGGACUCGCGGCUUAUCAGCUUGUUGGUGGGGUAGUGGCUUACCAAGGCUUUGACGGGUAGCCGGCCUGGGAGGGUGACCGGCUACAUUGGGACUGAGAUGCGGCACAGACUCAUACGGGAGGCAGGAGUGGGGAAUAUUGCACAGUGGGAGGAAGCCUGAUGCAGCAACGCCGCGUGCGGGAUGACGGCCUGCGGGUUGUAAACCGCUUUCGUCUGUGACGAAGCGUGAGUGACGGUAAUGGGUAAAGAAGCACCGGCUAACUACGUG